GACGAACGCUGGCGGCGUGCUUAACACAUGCAAGUCAAGGGGGCCCGCAAGGGUAACCGGCGAACGGGUGCGUAACACGUGAGCAAUCUGCCUAGAUGUGGGGGAUAGCCGGCCCAACGGCCGGGUAAUACCGCAUACGCUCGUCGACUGGCAUCAGUUGACGAGGAAACUUUCGGGGCGUCUAGAGGAGCUCGCGGCCUAUCAGCUAGUUGGUGGGGUAACGGCCUACCAAGGCGGUGACGGGUAGCUGGUCUGAGAGGAUGGCCAGCCACAUUGGGACUGAGAUACGGCCCAGACUCCUACGGGAGGCAGCAGUGGGGAAUAUUGCGCAAUGGCCGAAAGGCUGACGCAGCGACGCCGCGUGGGGGAUGAAGCAUUUCGGUGUGUAAACCCCUGUUGCUCGGGACGAACAAGCCUUUUCGAGGGCUCUGACGGUACCGAGUGAGGAAGCACCGGCUAACUCCGUGCCAGCAGCCGCGGUAAU
rnacentral:rRNA from 1 species